ACCAGGGCGGAGCUACCAUGCAGUCGAGCGGUAGCACAGAGAGCUUGCUCUCGGGUGACGAGCGGCGGACGGGUGAGUAAUGUCUGGGAAACUGCCUGAUGGAGGGGGAUAACUACUGGAAACGGUAGCUAAUACCGCAUAACGUCGCAAGACCAAAGUGGGGGACCUUCGGGCCUCAUGCCAUCAGAUGUGCCCAGAUGGGAUUAGCUAGUAGGUGGGGUAACGGCUCACCUAGGCGACGAUCCCUAGCUGGUCUGAGAGGAUGACCAGCCACACUGGAACUGAGACACGGUCCAGACUCCUACGGGAGGCAGCAGUGGGGAAUAUUGCACAAUGGGCGCAAGCCUGAUGCAGCCAUGCCGCGUGUAUGAAGAAGGCCUUCGGGUUGUAAAGUACUUUCAGCGGGGAGGAAGGCGAUAAGGUUAAUAACCUUGUCGAUUGACGUUACCCGCAGAAGAAGCACCGGCUAACUCCGUGCCAGCAGCCGCGGUAAUACGGAGGGUGCAAGCGUUAAUCGGAAUUACUGGGCGUAAAGCGCACGCAGGCGGUCUGUCAAGUCGGAUGUGAAAUCCCCGGGCUCAACCUGGGAACUGCAUUCGAAACUGGCAGGCUAGAGUCUUGUAGAGGGGGGUAGAAUUCCAGGUGUAGCGGUGAAAUGCGUAGAGAUCUGGAGGAAUACCGGUGGCGAAGGCGGCCCCCUGGACAAAGACUGACGCUCAGGUGCGAAAGCGUGGGGAGCAAACAGGAUUAGAUACCCUGGUAGUCCACGCCGUAAACGAUGUCGAUUUGGAGGUUGUGCCCUUGAGGCGUGGCUUCCGGAGCUAACGCGUUAAAUCGACCGCCUGGGGAGUACGGCCGCAAGGUUAAAACUCAAAUGAAUUGACGGGGGCCCGCACAAGCGGUGGAGCAUGUGGUUUAAUUCGAUGCAACGCGAAGAACCUUACCUGGUCUUGACAUCCACAGAACUUGCCAGAGAUGCCCUUGGUGCCUUCGGGAACUGUGAGACAGUGCUUGCAUGGCUGUCGUCAGCUCGUGUUGUGAAAUGGUUUGGGUUUAAGUCCCGGCAACGAGCGCAACCCUUAUCCUUUGUUGCCAGCGGGUCGCCGGGAACUCAAAGGAGACUGCCAGUGAUAAACCUGAGGAAGGGUGGGGAUGACGUCAGUCAUCAUGGUCCUUACGACCAGGCUACCACCACCGUGCUAC
rnacentral:rRNA from 1 species